rnacentral:rRNA from 1 species
AGAGUUUGAUCAUGGCUCAGGACGAACGCUGGCGGUGUGCCUAAAACAUGCAAGUCGAACGGACCUUCGGGUCAGUGGCGAACGGCGGAGUAAUACAUGAGUAACGUGCCCUUCAGACGGGGAUAUACAGUCGAAAGACUGGGCAAUACCGGAUGAGAUGGCGAGGAGGCAUCUCCUUGUCAUGAAAUGGUUUUUCGCUGAAGGAGCGGCUCAUGACACAUCAGAUAGUUGGUGGGGUAACGGCCUACCAAGUCUACGACGUGUAGGGGGUCUGAGAGGAUGAUCCCCCCGAGUGGGACUGAGACACGGCCCACACACCUACGGGUGGCAGCAGUUGGGAAUCUUGCGCAAUGGGGGAAACCCUGACGCAGCGACACCGCGUGGAGGAUGAAGGAUUUCGGUCUGUAAACUCCUUUUGCUAGGAAAGACUUAGGACGGUACCUAGCGAAUAAGCUCCGGCUAACUACGUGCCAGCAGCCGCGGUAAUACGUAGGGAGCAAGCGUUGUCCGGAUUUACUGGGCGUAAAGGGCGUGUAGGCGGUCUGUUAAGUGUGACGUGAAAUCUUCAGGGCUCAACCCGAAAAUUGCGUCGCAGACUGGCAGACUAGAGGGAAGCAGAGGUUGAUAGAAUUCCUGGUGUAGCGGUGACAUGCGUUGAUAUCAGGAGGAAUACCGAUGGCGAAGGCAGUCAACUGGGCUUUUCCUGACGCUGAGGCGCGAAAGCGUGGGGAGCAAACAGAAUUAGAUACUCUGGUAGUCCACGCCCUAAACGAUGGAUGCUAGGCGUAAGGGGUAUCGACCCCCUUUGUGCCGUAGCUAACGCAUUAAGCAUCCCGCCUGGGGAGUACGGCCGCAAGGUUGAAACUCAAAUGAAUUGACGGGACCCCGCACAAGCGGUGGAGCAUGUGGAUUAAU